GACGCCUUGUCCGAGUGGUUAAGGAGAAUGACUUGAAAUCAUUUGGGCUUUGCCCGCACAGGUUCGAACCCUGUAGGCGUCG
rnacentral:tRNA from 1 species